UACGGGGGGGGGCAAGCGUUGUUCGGAAUUACUGGGCGUAAAGGGCUCGUAGGUGGCCAACUAAGUCAGACGUGAAAUCCCUCGGCUUAACCGGGGAACUGCGUCUGAUACUGGAUGGCUUGAGUUCGGGAGAGGGAUGCGGAAUUCCAGGUGUAGCGGUGAAAUGCGUAGAUAUCUGGAGGAACACCGGUGGCGAAGGCGGGUCUCUGGGCCGUAACUGACGCUGAGGAGCGAAAGCAUGGGGAGCGAACAGG
rnacentral:rRNA from 1 species